UCCGUAGGUGAACCUGCGGAAGGAUCAUUAAUGGUGCUUGCAGAAAUGCUUGCACGGCGGCGGCCUUAAAACGCGCCAAAUGGCACCCUUUGUUUACGAAUACCGUUCGUUUCCUCGGUGGGCUUGCCUGCCAUGAGGACCAACAAAAACCUUUGUAGUAGCAGUAUCUUCAGUAAAAACAAAUAUUAAAACUUUCAACAACGGAUCUCUUGGUUCUGGCAUCGAUGAAGAACGCAGCGAAAUGCGAUAAGUAGUGUGAAUUGCAGAAUUCAGUGAAUCAUCGAAUCUUUGAACGCACAUUGCGCCCUUCGGUAUUCCGUUGGGCAUGCCUGUUCGAGCGUCAUUUAAUCAUUCAAGCUCUGCUUGGUGUUGGGUGUUUGUUCCGCCUCAGCGCGUGGACUCGCCUUAAAUUCAUUGGCAGCCGGUAUGUUGGCUUCGUGCGCAGCACAUUGCGUCGCGAUUCUGGCAGGCCUCCUCCCAUUAAGCUUCUUUUAAGUUUGACCUCGGAUCAGGUAGGGAUACCCGCUGAACUUAAGCAUAUCAAUAAGCGGAGGAAAAGAAACCAACAGGGAUUGCCCCAGUAACGGCGAGUGAAGCGGCAAUAGCUCAAAUUUGAAAUCUGGCUCUUUCAGGGUCCGAGUUGUAAUUUGCAGAGGGCGCUUUGGCGUCGGCAGCAGCCUAAGUUCCUUGGAACAGGUCAUCAUAGAGGGUGAGAAUCCCGUAUGUGGCUGCUUGUCUUCGCCGUGUAAAGCCCCUUCGAUGAGUCGAGUUGUUUGGGAAUGCAGCUCUAAAUGGGAGGUAAAUUUCUUCUAAAGCUAAAUAUUGGCCAGAGACCGAUAGCGCACAAGUAGAGUGAUCGAAAGAUGAAAAGCACUUUGGAAAGAGAGUCAAAAAGCACGUGAAAUUGUUGAAAGGGAAACGCUUGAAGU
rnacentral:sRNA from 1 species